rfam:Panthera tigris altaica isolate TaeGuk unplaced genomic scaffold scaffold7, whole genome shotgun sequence
ACCCAGACUAAGUCCAGGAAUACGAUGGCUUGGAACUGGAUGGGCCACGUGCUUAACCAGUUCAAGAUCUCCUUCUCUCCAACACUGUGCCAGCUCAUGACUCUCAUGACCCAUGAUUAGAAAGAUCUGGACCAGGAGUGAGAGGACCUCUGACUUUGCCAACCACCACUAUG